AGAGUUUGAUUAUGGCUCAGGACGAACGCUGGCGGCGUGCCUAACACAUGCAAGUCGAGCGAGGAGAUUCCUUCGGGAUGAUCCUAGCGGCGGACGGGUGAGUAACACGUGGGCAACCUGCCUCAUAGAGAGGAAUAGCCUUCCGAAAGGGAGAUUAAUACCUCAUAACAUUGCAGUUUCGCAUGGAACAGCAAUUAAAGGAGCAAUCCGCUAUGAGAUGGGCCCGCGGCGCAUUAGCUAGUUGGUGAGGUAACGGCUCACCAAGGCGACGAUGCGUAGCCGACCUGAGAGGGUGAUCGGCCACAUUGGGACUGAGACACGGCCCAGACUCCUACGGGAGGCAGCAGUGGGGAAUAUUGCACAAUGGGGGAAACCCUGAUGCCAGCAACGCCGCGUGAGUGAUGACGGCCUUCGGGUUGUAAAGCUCUGUCUUCAGGGACGAUAAUGACGGUACCUGAGGAGGAAGCCACGGCUAACUACGUGCCAGCCGCGGC
rnacentral:rRNA from 1 species